rnacentral:RNase_P_RNA from 1 species
AGAACAUUUUGAGCGAUCGCGGGCAUCAAACGAAAGGAGAUGUCUGAGGAAAGUCCGGGCUCCUACGGGAAAGAAUAACGGAUAACGUCCGCCGAAGGUGACUUCCGAGAUAGUGCAACAGAAAAAAACCGCCGCAAGGUAAGGGUGAAAAGGUGAGGUAAGAGCUCACCGAAGAGGUGGUAACAUCUCUUGCCGUGUAAACCUUAUUCGGAGCAAGACCGUGAUGAAGCUACGCCCCUCGGGGCAGUGCCUCCCGUCGCAGCUUCAGAGGUCGCUUGAGAUAUGGGGUAACCCAUAUUCGGGAUAGAUGAUCGCAUAAAACAGAACCCGGCUUACGGAAAUGUUUUGUAU